rnacentral:lncRNA from 1 species
AGAGGCGAGGGUUCUGGGGUUUCUGGGACUGUCUGGUGUGUUUUCUGUCUAUUGAACCCUUUCCUUUCGACGUCUCUUCUGAAUAUUGACUCAUCGGGUUGUAGAAAUCCAGGGACAGAGUUGACAUCACUGGGCAUUUUAGCCAAAAAGCAGUGCUCGGGACUGCAUGUGCCAGAAGUAAACUUGUCAAAACUCAGAUUGUGUUUCCCCUAAAGUCAGCUUAAAGUGCAAUGGUAGAAGAGCACGGUCUCUCCCCAAGACGGCCUGAGCUUAAACUGCAGCGCUGUCACUUGCUAGCUAUGGGACCUAGGCAAAUACAUCGUCUCCCUGAGGUUGUCUUCUCAUCUGUAAAGGACGCUGUGGUGGUGGUGUGAGAAUAAAUGAGACAUGGCAAGUGUC